AAGACUAUAGACCUGCGGAGUACCUGCGGAAGGAUCAUUAAUGAAAUUUAAGGACGCUCUUUUUAGAGGUCCGAACAAUCUCAUUUUCUCACACUGUGCACACUACUACUUUUUUACACCAUUUUUAACUCAUAAAGUCUAAGAAUGUAAUCAGUCUCUUAAUUGAGCAUAAAUUUAAACAAAACUUUCAACAACGGAUCUCU
rnacentral:misc_RNA from 1 species